CGCGACUAGAAGAAAUAAGCUGAGUGACAAUAAGACGUACGAUUUACGAGCAAGUAGCAGUGAAAAAUUCUUUUCUGUAGAAAAACCGACAAUAAAUUCUUUCCGUAAACGCAUUCAUCGAAAACGACCAAGUACCGUAGAAGAUUAACAAUAAAUCGAGACCUCCCAAUAGAGGUUACAAACCAGUAUGCAGGAUUUAUCAAGAAAAGGAAACUUGACAGGCAGAUGUAUUGUGGCAGAAACUUCUUGAUAAUUGGAAGAUAGUUGAGAAAUUCACAAAAGUCAAUAAAAGAUAAGAUUCAAGUUGAUAAUUUCGCACAAUUUUACCACCUUUAAAUCAAAUUGUUAAUGCGCAACACGUUUCAAUCGUUUCCAACAAUAAAGUAGAACUGUCCGAACACUAAAUUGAAGAGGACUAUUUUUGUCGUCCGAUUUCUUCUUACAAAAGAAAGGAAACGAAAGAAAGAAAUUCAAACGAAAUGAAAGACGCGAAGGAAUGUAUAAGCCAAUUAACAACGAGGCGACGCGAAACGUGCACGGAGAUUACACGAAUCUGAUGAAUGGUAAUAUUCCUGGAGCGGUAGUUCCUUCGCAGUGGCCGACGCAUCGUGACAUUGAAACUCCUACACUCGUUGGUGGAGGUAAAGGAAAGUCUCCCCUCUUGCUUCCCGUCGCGUUCCCUCUUUCCCGUUCUUCGUCGACGAGUGACGAUAAUAGGCCGGGAAACGUCGACGAUUGCGGGGUAAGAGGCGAGGGGCGAGGACUUCGAUGAAUCAAAGCGAAGGAGCCAGACAGAGGGUGGGAGGGAAGAAAGAAGAGAACCGCGACAGCGUUGGAUCGAGAUAAGGGGAAAGGAUCGAAUGGAUUGCAGGGUGUAUGGAGGGGAUGAAAGUCAGAGGGGAGGGAUGGAAGAGGGCAAGGUUGCAGACGCCGGCAACCAAGAAGGCAACCACCACGUUUACACCACUACAUACAGUACGACGUGUGUAACUGUUCGUCUUUUUCGUUGGAAAUUCUCUUCCAACUACUCUUCUUUCUCUCUCUAUUUAUCGUACCACUAACAUACAAUCAUAGUACGAUAAAUAGUAUCACAAUUACAAGUUACAAAUAUGAUGAUAUGAUCGUCAUCAUCAUUUUACUUUAAUGAAAAAUGCAAAAACACUUAAGUAAAUGGA